rnacentral:rRNA from 1 species
GACGAACCGUGCAAACGUUGUUCGGAAUCACUGGGCAUAAAGGGCGCGUAGGCGGCCCGACAAGUCUGUGGUGAAAGCCCCCCGCUCAACGGGGGAAGGGCCGUGGAUACUGUCGGGCUCGAGGGAGACAGGGGCAGGUGGAACUUCCGGUGGAGCGGUGAAAUGCGUUGAGAUCGGAAGGAACUCCGGGUGGCGAAAGCGGCCUGCUGGAUCUCUACGUGACGCUGAGGCGGCGAAAGCCAGGGGGAGCAAAC